rnacentral:rRNA from 1 species
UACGUAGGGUGCAAGCGUUUGUCCGGAAUUAUUGGGCGUAAAGAGCUCGUAGGCGGUUUGUCGCGUCUGCUGUGAAAUCCCGAGGCUCAACCUCGGGUCUGCAGUGGGUACGGGCAGACUAGAGUGCGGUAGGGAGAUUGGAACUCCUGGUGUAGCGGUGGAAUGCGCAGAUAUCAGGAAGAACACCGAUGGCGAAGGCAGAUCUCUGGGCCGUAACUGACGCU